UAUUUUCAGAAAUUCACACAUGAAAUAUAAUGACAGACUUAUUUGCCCAAAAUAAUUGCACCCAGUUUUGAUUAUUGGAUGUCACUAAGUGAUUAUCCUUAUAUCAGUUGUGAACUCUCCUUCCUCUAUUAUUGACUUCAAGUCCUCAUUUUUUAUCUUGCCAAUAUACAAAGCUGUUCAAACCAAAACAAUUGAAAUAAGAAAUAAAAAUAAUAUUUUUUUACUCAAAUCUUUAUAAAGAAGUAAAAACACCAUAUAUACUUACUCUUUGUUUUCUUCUUGAUGUGUUUUGAACGAACUCUUAUAAUGCAUUGCGACAUCCUUCUCUAGAGUUGUCCAUGUUGGCCUUGUGCAUUCGACUUUGUCCUUCUAUUUCACACACAAAC
rnacentral:lncRNA from 1 species